CCAGCUCAUCUAAGCACCAUUCCGAACUUGUGUAGUCCUUAGAAAAGAUCACCACCGCAACCCUUGACUCUUGGAUCCUCACAAAAAGGUUAACCAGAUCUGUGCCCACCACUUCGUCCUUGUCUAUGAAAACGUUUAUGUUCGCUUCUCUCAUGGCAGGCUCAAGAAAGCUUAGGAAGCCGUUACGCAGAUCUUUUCCUCGGAAGUUGAUGAACACUUGAGGUCCCGUUGGGGUGGGUCUCACAGAAGAAGAAGCAGCCAUAAGAGAGCUUUUUCUUUUGAGGUAAGAGAUUUUGUUUUUAUUGAUUGUUCUUUGACCUUUAGUGUUUUCUCAAGAUGAUUUGAAUGUUAAAGCUAAUCACACGUCCUUAUAUAGAUUUAAAUGCAUGAAAUAAUGUAACAUCUAACUUUUCAACAUGUAAUUUGUUAAUUACUUAAUGAUAUAGAUCACAAAACUAUGUAGUUUUUAUUUGAAUUAGUCUUUUAAUCAUAUCGAAAUCCUCCGGUCAAGACCGAGUAUUUUCUAAAUAACUAAUUGUGUAACGUAUGUAGUUUUUAUUUAUUAAAAAACUAGUAACGUAUGGAAGUUGGUUAACACUUACAGAUACAUCAAAUAAGAGUUUUAGUUAAGACGUCGAUCAACAUGUAUAAACUAAAGUAAUUUAGUUUUUGUCAACGAUCAACAAAACCAAAUUCACUACCAAGGUGUGCAUCUUUGAUUGGUUUGCAUGAGUCGUCCGCCAAAGUCCUUCCUCAAAUUAUAAUCCAAGUCAACAGGACUUGCCUAGUUCAUAAAGUCUUUCUAUAGGUUCCUUUAAUAAAAUCAAAUAACCAAAUUAAAAAGCAAAUUUUUAAGAACCAAAUUAUUAAAAUCUCAAGUGUCAGAUAAAAAACUGCAACUGCAAACGCGAACCAUAUUAAAAUAAAAUAAUUGGACUUCUUCACACGGUGUGAAUCACACCUUAAUACGUCAUUGAAACUGAGCUCUCGAACGCGGUCAGACCAUAAUCAAGUAGUGUAGUAUGUCAUUGCAUAAACUACAUCAUUAAAAGAUGUCAUCGUCUAUGGAAAUUUUAUGUUCUGAUUAUUUAAUCGAUUAGACUUCAGUAGAGUAUACAUAUAACAUAUUAAAAAGCAAAUUUUUAAGAACCAAAUUAUUAAAAUAAAACUAUAUUAUACAGUGACAUUUUCACUAUGCAUCUUAAAGACAUUUUAAAACAAACCCGUCGUUCAAUUCAUCAUGUGAAAGGUCAUUCCAGUGAUCACAACUCUCACAAUUAUGAUCAUCGGAUGGUUUAUUUUCACGGACAAUCCAUAGUCGUAUUAUUAUGAGACGGUUUUAGGUGAAAGUACUAUUAUUUCCUAAAACUGUGAAUUGCGAAAACAAGGCUGGUUAGCCAUUGCAAACCUUUAUAAAACAAAGGACAAUUGUACAUUUCUAAAGACACUAAAAUCUAACGUAGGUUUUGCGUUCACCCUCGGCUGCUAGCUAAAUCUCUGAAACAAAAAGGGAUAAAGAGAAUGGAUGUCAUAAGAAAAAGGGGUUAACAAUUUAUAUUGAUCAGUCAAUGUGGAUCGUCCCAGCAAUAUUCGUUCAGAGGAAUUGAUCAGUAACAACAAAGCAUGUAAAUCAACAAAACAUGUAUAUGAGUUGGCCAACUUUCAUAUACAUGAUUUUUUAACCAUUAAAUAUUUUAUGUGUGAUUUUAUAUAAACAAAUAAUAUUGUAAAUUUGAAUAUCAUAGUAAUCAUAUAUAUAUAUAUAUAUAUAUAUCCUAAUUGGUCAACUUGGCAAUUCAUUUUUAAAAAAUAAAAAUAAAAUACUAAUAUUUAUCACUAAUUAACCCACAAUACAACACAUUUAUUCAUAUAUAUUAAUCCAUUAUUGAAAACUAAAUUGUAACCAUCAUACUAAUUGUGUAUUAAUUAUAUUCUUAUUUACCCAUUGUCAUUCAAACAAAUUAGAAUUCUAACUCCUAUACUUUAAUUAUUUAUAAAAUGUAACUUCCAUCACUUUUCAUUCUAUAAAUAAUCAUAUACACAUAUAAUAUAGUAUGCAACAAGCCGCAAGUAUCAAGUAUCGCGGCUAAACAACCUAGUUUUAACCUAAACCACACAAAAUUUUAUGUGAAACCUAAAGUAUCACGUUAUUUAAUACAAAUUUAAUUUUGUUAAAUUUAAUGUGAAGAUAUGUGUAUAUAUAUAUCACCAGUAUAAUAAGAGCAAAAAAUGAUGUGUCUAUGUAAACUUUACUUGAAAGAUUGGGAGCAUCAUUAUUAUCAAGUAGAAAAAUUAUAAAAUUUUAUCAUAAUUUCAAACAACAGUACCCAAAAAGAAAAAGGAAAAACAAUUCACUUUAAUAACCAAACAGAGCAUCUAUUUUUAUUUUUAUUUUAAACAGACUAGCGAUUCAUUUUUUUAAAAAUACAUAUAUUAAACAAUAGGAAUAAUCAUAUAUCCUUCGUUUGUACGCUUUAGUUCGUGGGACGUAUUGCAACACCUUUGACGACGAGUCCCUUUUUCUUAUACUUGUCUUCGUACUGAUACAUGGUGAAAAUGAUCGUUGCGGGAGUAGUUUUUGGCGGAACCACGAAAACUCCGGCCAAAAUAUCCACCCAGUUCUGGCCUAUGUAAUCGUUCAAGUUCUCUGUUCGAUCCACCCGAUCGUCGUCCCCAUCGUGUUGUACCACCUUCAGCUUUAGAUUCACUGGUUGCUCCCAUCCACUAGCAUUAUUUUCUAAUUUGACUACGAAUACAGCCUCGUACUUAGCUCCUGGUGUUAGAUUCUCCGUAGUUAUUGUUCCCACUAUUUUAAGCCAGUAAACUUUAUUCAACGUCGCAAUUUCAAUUUCCGCAGAGCUGCAAACAUAAUUAAAUCAAACAUAGAUGAGAAAUAGAAAGGACCAGAUAACAAAUAAACAUCUUUACAAAGAAUAAAAUAUCGUAACUAGUUUCACGAAAUUUGACCAAAAUAACUUGAUAAAUUGUUGUAAUUACUAAAAAGAUGAGGGAACCCAAAACUAAUUCUGUAAAUUACACAAAACAAUUUUUUUAAAAAAGUGGACCUAAAUAUCGAUUUCUAGCUAGGUUUCAUAAACUCUUAUUUAUUUUUAUUUCAAAUGAGAAAAUGACAUAUAUGUUAUUUCUAGAAUCCAUUAAAAAAUAUUUUUUGAAAGGAAAAGUACUUUUGACCUCAAAAAAUAAUGAUAAAAGAGAUAAAAUAUUACUUUGGUGCCUCGUUGAUGGUACUCCAAGUCCAUUUUUGAGGUUUCUCAGAAUGUGUGAUGUCUAAAUCCCUUGCAGGGACCAUGGAAGGGACCACGGAACUUCCUUCCUGACUCGCUUCUCUUUCUGGCUUCCUUGCAGGGACCAUGGAACCUCCUUGAGGAUUCGCUUCUCCUUUCGGUUUCUUUGGAGGGACGAUGGAAACUAAUUUACG
rnacentral:lncRNA from 1 species